CGCUGCUUGGCAGACAUUUAUCACCCGAUCCUGGGAGUGGAGAAGCCUCAGUGUGGCUGGUGGCCUGCCCGAGGGCUGGGCUGCCCCAGGAGCCGCACGGCUUCUCUGUGCCUGGCCCAAGGCCCUGCAGGUGCCCAGCAAGGCAAGGACACCCUAGCCUGGGCCGGAGGCUGGGGUGCUAGAUGUGUCUGGGGCCUGUGGAGCGCCUCGCCAGGAGCCACCUGCCACCUGCAGAGGCCAGAGACCCCUCAACCAGACAGGACCUUGGGAUGAAGGAGCCAAGAGAGCCCAGAGGGAGGUGCUGCCCUCUGUGAGAACAUCAGGACCCCCAGGGCAGGGGGAAUGGUGGCAGCGCGUGGAGUCACGGGGAACACAGGAGAAGGAGGCCCAGAAUGCCCAGAACAGAGGGACCUGCAUGUCCAGACCCUACCAGAAUCACAGGCACAGGCCACCAAAGAGGCUGGACGAAAACCCUGGGAGGUGGCAGUGGCCUGCCUCCACCCCAGGCGGAUCCCAGGGCUGAGCACCGAGCAUCUGUUUCCAACAUGAAGAUGGAUGAACAACAGUGGGAGUGUGUGUAACCCCACAGAACUGCACAUGUAAGGCUGGACUUGGUGGCUCACCCUGUAAUCCCAGCACUUUGGGAGGCUGAUGCAGGAGGAUCGCUUGAAGCCAGGAGUUUCAGACCAGCCUGGGCAACAUAGCAAGACCUUGUCUCCACUAAAGAAAAAAGAAAGCCAGGUCUGAUGGUCCCAGCUACUCAGGAGGCUGAGGCAGGAGGAUUGCAUGAACUUGGGAGGUCAAGGCUGCAGUCAGUUAUGAUUGUGUCGCUGCCCUCCAGUCUGGGCAACAGAGCAAGACCUUGUCUCAAAAAUAAGCAGGUAAAUAGGCUGGGCACAGUGGCUCACCCCUGCAAUCCCAGGAUAUUGGGAGGCCAAGAUGGGUGAAUCACCUGAGGUCAGGAGUUUGAGACCAGCCUGACCAACAUCAGGAUUUCAUCAUGGUGAAGUCCUGUCUCUAUAAAAAUACAAAAGCUAGCCAGGCAGGUGGUGCCUGUAGUCCCAGCUACUCGGGAGGCCGAGGCAAGAGAAUUGCUUGAACCUGGGAGGUGGAUGUUGCAGUGAGCUGAGAUCACACCACUGCACUCCAGGUUGGGUAACAGAGCGAGACUCGUCUGAAAAAAAUAAAAGAGAAAAAGUAGGUAAAUAAAUGAACGGC
rnacentral:lncRNA from 13 species